GGCAAUGGACGGAAGUCUGACCGAGCAACGCCGCGUGAGUGAAGAAGGUUUUCGGAUCGUAAAGCUCUGUUGUAAGAGAAGAACGAGUGUGAGAGUGGAAAGUUCACACUGUGACGGUAUCUUACCAGAAAGGGACGGCUAACUACGUGCCAGCAG
rnacentral:rRNA from 1 species